GGAGGACUGCCCGAGAGGCUGAAGGGGCACGAUUGGAAAUCGUGUGUGCGCCUUAAAAGUGUACCUAGGGUUCGAAUCCCUAGUCCUCCGCCA
rnacentral:tRNA from 1 species